CUCGGGGGGAGGGUCCCUCCGCCCAGAUUGUGAGAGGGCGCAGGCCAGGCCAAGGGACCCCACAGGUGCAUA
rfam:Myotis brandtii contig203101, whole genome shotgun sequence.